rnacentral:other from 6 species
UCGGCCCUGCGGUGUUCGUGAUCGUUCCUUGAAGGCCUGAGCCAACACUCAAACCAAGGGAGUCCUCGCUGCCUCGGUGGUGCGCCACUAGCCGCUCGCGGCUUGCGCGCAAAAACCGAAGCGCUGGCACCCACCUGCUUAGGCGGGUUCAAUGCCUCAGGACACACGGCAUCUGCGGGGCCACU